rnacentral:lncRNA from 1 species
AUGCUGGGCACCUUGAAAAGUUGCAAAGUGGGCAGGAAGCUCCGGGCUGCUGAGAAAAAAAGCUUCCUGAAAUAUAAAUUCCAGGUAAAUAACGUCAUGGUUCUCCUCACUAAUGGAAUUAUGAGGGAGAUAGGGAGGGAAGACAGAGGGAAGAAAAGAGGCAGGGGAAGAGAAGGGAAAGGAUAAAUUAGAGAAGAAAUGGGUGCAGAUUUUAA